UUGGAUAGAGCGCAGGACGCGCUCAGUCAGGUCAAGGACGAUGACCAUGCCAGGAUGGCAGCUCGAUACGGAUAUUGAGCAUGGUCAGCAAAAACCCGCUUCGGCGGGUUUUU
rnacentral:sRNA from 1 species